AAAAAGAUAAGCUAAAUAAGCUCUUAGGUUCAUACCCCAAAUAUAAAGGUUAUUAACCCUUUUCUUUUUA
rnacentral:tRNA from 1 species